rnacentral:rRNA from 1 species
GUCCUAGCCCUAAACGGUGCUUGCUUGCUGUAAAAGUAAUCGACCCCUUUUGUGGCGGAGCUAACGCGUUAAGCAAGCCGCCUGGGAAGUACGGUCGCAAGAUUAAAACUCAAAGAAAUUGACGGGGGCCUGCACAAGCGGUGGAGUAUGUGGCUUAAUUCGAUGCAACGCGAAGAACCUUACCUGGCCUUGACAUGCAUAUAGUAGAAGCCUGAAAGGGUGACGAGGUAGCAAUAUCAGUAUGCACAGGUGCUGCAUGGCUGUCGU